GAGUUUGAUCAUGGCUCAGAUUGAACGCUGGCGGCAGGCCUAACACAUGCAAGUCGAACGGUAACAGGAAACAGCUUGCUGUUUCGCUGACGAGUGGCGGACGGGUGAGUAAUGUCUGGGAAACUGCCUGAUGGAGGGGGAUAACUACUGGAAACGGUAGCUAAUACCGCAUAACGUCGCAAGACCAAAGAGGGGGGCCUUCGGGCCUCUUGCCAUCAGAUGUGCCCAGAUGGGAUUAGCUAGUAGGUGGGGUAACGGCUCACCUAGGCGACGAUCCCUAGCUGGUCUGAGAGGAUGACCAGCCACACUGGAACUGAGACACGGUCCAGACUCCUACGGGAGGCAGCAGUGGGGAAUAUUGCACAAUGGGCGCAAGCCUGAUGCAGCCAUGCCGCGUGUAUGAAGAAGGCCUUCGGGUUGUAAAGUACUUUCAGCGGGGAGGAAGGGAGUAAAGUUAAUACCUUUGCUCAUUGACGUUACCCGCAGAAGAAGCACCGGCUAACUCCGUGCCAGCAGCCGCGGUAAUACGGAGGGUGCAAGCGUUAAUCGGAAUUACUGGGCGUAAAGCGCACGCAGGCGGUUUGUUAAGUCAGAUGUGAAAUCCCCGGGCUCAACCUGGGAACUGCAUCUGAUACUGGCAAGCUUGAGUCUCGUAGAGGGGGGUAGAAUUCCAGGUGUAGCGGUGAAAUGCGUAGAGAUCUGGAGGAAUACCGGUGGCGAAGGCGGCCCCCUGGACGAAGACUGACGCUCAGGUGCGAAAGCGUGGGGAGCAAACAGGAUUAGAUACCCUGGUAGUCCACGCCGUAAACGAUGUCGACUUGGAGGUUGUGCCCUUGAGGCGUGGCUUCCGGAGCUAACGCGUUAAGUCGACCGCCUGGGGAGUACGGCCGCAAGGUUAAAACUCAAAUGAGUUGACGGGGGCCCGCACAAGCGGUGGAGCAUGUGGUUUAAUUCGAUGCAACGCGAAGAACCUUACCUGGUCUUGACAUCCACGGAAGUUUUCAGAGAUGAGAAUGUGCCUUCGGGAACCGUGAGACAGGUGCUGCAUGGCUGUCGUCAGCUCGUGUUGUGAAAUGUUGGGUUAAGUCCCGCAACGAGCGCAACCCUUAUCCUUUGUUGCCAGCGGUCCGGCCGGGAACUCAAAGGAGACUGCCAGUGAUAAACUGGAGGAAGGUGGGGAUGACGUCAAGUCAUCAUGGCCCUUACGACCAGGGCUACACACGUGCUACAAUGGCGCAUACAAAGAGAAGCGACCUCGCGAGAGCAAGCGGACCUCAUAAAGUGCGUCGUAGUCCGGAUUGGAGUCUGCAACUCGACUCCAUGAAGUCGGAAUCGCUAGUAAUCGUGGAUCAGAAUGCCACGGUGAAUACGUUCCCGGGCCUUGUACACACCGCCCGUCACACCAUGGGAGUGGGUUGCAAAAGAAGUAGGUAGCUUAACCUUCGGGAGGGCGCUUACCACUUUGUGAUUCAUGACUGGGGUGAAGUCGUAACAAGGUAACCGUAGGGGAACCUGCGGUUG
rnacentral:rRNA from 1 species